rnacentral:rRNA from 1 species
CGACGUGAGGAACCUGCCUUGGAGUGGGGAAUAACAGCCAGAAAUGGCUGCUAAUACCGCAUAAUGCAGUUGGGUCGCAUGGCUCUGACUGCCAAAGAUUUAUCGCUCUAAGAUGGCCUCGCGUCUGAUUAGUUUGUUGGCGGGGUAACGGCCCACCAAGACGACGAUCAGUAGCCGGACUGAGAGGUUGGCCGGCCACAUUGGGACUGAGACACGGCCCAGACUCCUACGGAAGGCAGCAG